GAUGAACGCUGGCGGCGUGCCUAAUACAUGCAAGUCGAGCGAACAGACGAGGAGCUUGCUCCUCUGACGUUAGCGGCGGACGGGUGAGUAACACGUGGAUAACCUAACUAUAAGACUGGGAGAACUUCGUGAAACCGGUGCUAAUACCGGUAAAUAUAUUGAACCGCAUGGUUCAAUAGUGAAAGGCGGUUUUGCUUUCAUAUGUAGACUGUUCGGCACCUCAUUAGCUAGUUGGUAAGGUAACGGCUUAUCAAUGGCACGAUGAGUAGCGGACCUGAGAAGGUGAUCGGCCACCCUGGAACUGAGACACGGUCCAGAACCCGACGGGAGGCAGCAGUAGGGAAUCUUAAGCAAUGGGAGAAAGCCUGACGGAGCAACGCCCAGUGAGUGAUGAAGGUCUUCGGAUCGUAAAACGCUGUUAUUAGGGAAGAACAAAUGUGUAAGUAACUAUGCACGUCUUGACGGUACCUAAUCAGAAAGACACGGCUAACUACGUU
rnacentral:rRNA from 1 species